GCCCCUAUAGCUUAACUCCAAAGCAUGGCACUGAAGAUGCCAAGAUGGUGCAAACCCACCUGAGGGC
rnacentral:tRNA from 1 species